CGGGGCGUGGCGCAGCCCGGUAGCGCACCUGCUUUGGGAGCAGGGGGUCGGAGGUUCAAAUCCUCUCGCCCCGACCA
rnacentral:tRNA from 5 species